AUACCGGCCCUUUUCAGGGCCAUUAAUAUCUUCAUUUAAGUCGCCU
rfam:Octopus bimaculoides Scaffold64878_contig_47, whole genome shotgun sequence.